ACAUACCACUUGUAUGCUCCGGUUCUUGUGCUCCGAUUGCACCCGACCUGUUAUCGCUCGCUACGUUUUUUCGUAGCAGCU
rnacentral:sRNA from 1 species